rnacentral:tRNA from 1 species
AAAAAUUUAGUUAAUAAAUAACAUUAGUUUGUCAAACUAAAAUAACUUAAUUUUAAGUAAUUUUUA